rnacentral:rRNA from 1 species
AGAGUUUGAUCCUGGCUCAGAUUGAACGCUGGCGGCAUGCCUUACACAUGCAAGUCGAACGGUAACAGGUUAAGCUGACGAGUGGCGAACGGGUGAGUAAUAUAUCGGAACGUGCCCAGUCGUGGGGGAUAACGCAGCGAAAGCUGUGCUAAUACCGCAUACGAUCUAUGGAUGAAAGCGGGGGACUUGCAAGAGCCUCGCGCGAUUGGAGCGGCCGAUAUCAGAUUAGCUAGUUGGUGGGGUAAAAGCUCACCAAGGCGACGAUCUGUAGCUGGUCUGAGAGGACGACCAGCCACACUGGAACUGAGACACGGUCCAGACUCCUACGGGAGGCAGCAGUGGGGAAUUUUGGACAAUGGGCGCAAGCCUGAUCCAGCAAUGCCGCGUGCAGGAUGAANGGCCUUCGGGUUGUAAACUGCUUUUGUACGGAGCGAAAAGGUUCUUUCUAAUACAAGGGAUUCAUGACGGUACCGUAAGAAUAAGCACCGGCUAACUACGUGCCAGCAGCCGCGGUAAUACGUAGGGUGCGAGCGUUAAUCGGAAUUACUGGGCGUAAAGCGUGCGCAGGCGGUUUUGUAAGACAAAUGUGAAAACCCCGGGCUCAACCUGGGAACUGCAUAUGUGACUGCAAGGCUAGAGUACGGUAGAGGGGGAUGGAAUUCCGCGUGUAGCAGUGAAAUGCGUAGAUAUGCGGAGGAACACCGAUGGCGAAGGCAAUCCCCUGGACCUGUACUGACGCUCAUGCACGAAAGCGUGGGGAGCAAACAGGAUUAGAUACCCUGGUAGUCCACGCCCUAAACGAUGUCAACUGGUUGUUGGGUCUUUACUGACUCAGUAACGAAGCUAACGCGUGAAGUUGACCGCCUGGGGAGUACGGCCGCAAGGUUG